rnacentral:lncRNA from 1 species
GUAGGGUUUCAGAGUGGGCAUGCACAGUGGAAACAUAAUGGAUUUCAAAAUUUUAAUAAAAAAAUUUUAAAUAUUAAACCCUUAAACCAGUAUCUCCUUGAUGAUUAACAAUCAUAUAUAACAUAAAUUCAAGAUUAAAUUUAAGUUAUAGAAGAAUACCUGUAGCGCUUAAUCCAAAUUUCGGCAGAACCUCCACCAGGCGCCCAAGUGUUCGCCCUCCAAC